UCCGGGGAUCUAGGCCUGGGUCCUGGCCGGGGCGCGGGACCUGCGCGGGGCGGGGCGGGCCUGCACCCGGACCGAGCCGCCAUCAGGACCCGCAGACGUGUCCCCGUCCCGCCACCCCCCUCCCCCAGCCAGGGCCAUCAACCCCUUCCCUCGGUCCCUACAGGCCCGCCCUGAUCGGUCGAUCGGCAGCCCUACUUCCGAUCUGGGAACCCACAAACCAACCCGCCUCUCCUCUUCCCCCUCCCCCCUCUCCCCAGACUGUCCCGAAAAGGACGGACAGUGCCCUCCUCCGACGGCGGGACGACCACAGACACCAGCCCCCAAACUCGGCGCCUCCGCUCUGGCCUUAGGGGUCACAGAUGACUGCCCCCUCCCCAACUCGCCUAGAUCAUAAUUAAACAUCUGUCUCCUCCCCCACAGACACACUGCCUCCCUGUAUCCUCUCCCAUCCAGGGAACCUUAGCAGAUUUAAAAGGGAUCUAUUGCUGGGCCCUUCCCCCGGUCCAGGUCAGACCUACCCUGACAUCAGGACACACAGACCUCUUGAUGGGCUGCCACUGUCCCCAACAGGCAGUCCCCUCCCCUCCUGGCCCUCACAGGCAACAGGUAGGUAGAACACUCCCCCUUUCCAGUAGCUACCCAGCUCCUCAACUCCAGGACAUAUUGUCAGGCUCUUGAGCCACUGG